CCUACGGGUGGCUGCAGUGGGGAAUAUUGGACAAUGGGCGAAAGCCUGAUCCAGCCAUGCCGCGUGUGUGAAGAAGGCCUUCGGGUUGUAAAGCACUUUCAGUGGGGAAGAAAGCCUUGGGGCUAAUACCCUCGAGGAAGGACAUCACCCACAGAAGAAGCACCGGCUAACUCCGUGCCAGCAGCCGCGGUAAUACGGAGGGUGCGAGCGUUAAUCGGAAUUACUGGGCGUAAAGCGCGCGUAGGCGGUCUGAUAAGCCGGUUGUGAAAGCCCCGGGCUCAACCUGGGAACGGCAUCCGGAACUGUCAGGCUAGAGUGCAGGAGAGGAAGGUAGAAUUCCCGGUGUAGCGGUGGAAUGCGUAGAGAUCGGGAGGAAUACCAGUGGCGAAGGCGGCCUUCUGGACUGACACUGACGCUGAGGUGCGAAAGCGUGGGUAGCAAACAGGAUUAGAUACCCGAGUAGUC
rnacentral:rRNA from 1 species